rnacentral:rRNA from 1 species
UACGGGGGGGGCAAGCGUUGUUCGGAAUUACUGGGCGUAAAGGGCUCGUAGGUGGCCAACUAAGUCAGACGUGAAAUCCCUCGGCUUAACCGGGGAACUGCGUCUGAUACUGGAUGGCUUGAGUUUGGGAGAGGGAUGCGGAAUUCCAGGUGUAGCGGUGAAAUGCGUAGAUAUCUGGAGGAACACCGGUGGCGAAGGCGGCAUUCUGGACCGACAUUGACGCUGAGGAGCGAAAGCCAGGGGAGCAAAGCGGG